GAUGAACGCUGGCGGCGUGCCUAAUACAUGCAAGUCGAGCGAACAGACGAGGAGCUUGCUCCUCUGACGUUAGCGGCGGACGGGUGAGUAACACGUGGAUAACCUACCUAUAAGACUGGGAUAACUUCGGGAAACCGGAGCUAAUACCGGAUAAUAUAUUGAACCGCAUGGUUCAAUAGUGAAAGACGGUUUUGCUGUCACUUAUAGAUGGAUCCGCGCCGCAUUAGCUAGUUGGUAAGGUAACGGCUUACCAAGGCAACGAUGCGUAGCCGACUUGAGAGGGUGAUCGGCCACACUGGAACGGAGACACGGUCCAGACUCCUACGGGAGGCAGCAGUAGGGAAUCUUCCGCAAUGGGCGAAAGCCUGACGGAGCAACGCCGCGUGAGUGAUGAAGGUCUUCGGAUCGUAAAACUCUGUUAUUAGGGAAGAACAAAUGUGUAAGUAACUAUGCACGUCUUGACGGUACCUAAUCAGAAAGCCACGGCUAACUACGUG
rnacentral:rRNA from 1 species